GUGGGUAUAGCUCAGCUUGGUUAGAGCGCCAGAUUGUGGCUCUGGAGGUCGAGGGUUCGAGUCCCUUUACCCACCCCA
rnacentral:tRNA from 1 species